UACAGAGGUCUCAAGCGUUGUUCGGAUUCAUUGGGCGUAAAGGGUGCGUAGGUGGCGCUGUAAGUCGGGUGUGAAAUUUCGAGGCUUAACCUCGAAACUGCAUUCGAUACUGCGGUGCUUGAGGACUGGAGAGGAGACUGGAAUUCAUGGUGUAGCAGUGAAAUGCGUAGAGAUCAUGAGGAAGACCAGUGGCGAAGGCGGGUCUCUGGACAGUUCCUGACACUGAGGCACGAAGGCCAGGGGAGCGAACAGG
rnacentral:rRNA from 1 species